rnacentral:rRNA from 1 species
CGAGAAAGCCCGCAAGGGUGAGUACAGCGGCGCACGGGUGCGUAACACGUGAGUAAUCUGCCCUGAAGCCCGGAAUAACCUCCCGAAAGGGAAGCUAAUACCGGAUAAGCCCACGGGGUCCCCGGACCCCGAGAGAAAAGGCGGCCUCUGUAUACAAGCUGUCACUUCAGGAUGAGCUCGCGGCCCAUCAGCUAGUUGGCGGGGUAAUGGCCCACCAAGGCUACGACGGGUAGCUGGUCUGAGAGGACGAUCAGCCACACUGGAACUGAGACACGGUCCAGACUCCUACGGGAGGCAGCAGUGGGGAAUCUUGCGCAAUGGGCGAAAGCCUGACGCAGCAACGCCGCGUGUGUGAUGAAGGUCUUCGGAUCGUAAAGCACUGUCGCGAGGGACG